UGGGGAAUAUUGCACAAUGGAGGAAACUCUGAUGCAGCGACGCCGCGUGAGUGAAGAAGUAAUUCGUUAUGUAAAGCUCUAUCAGCAGGGAAGAUAGUGACGGUACCUGACUAAGAAGCUCCGGCUAAAUACGUGCCAGCAGCCGCGGUAAUACGUAUGGAGCAAGCGUUAUCCGGAUUUACUGGGUGUAAAGGGAGUGUAGGUGGCAUCACAAGUCAGAAGUGAAAGCCCGGGGCUCAACCCCGGGACUGCAUUUGAAACUGUGAAGCUGGAGUGUCGGAGAGGUAAGUGGAAUUCCUAGUGUAGCGGUGAAAUGCGUAGAUAUUAGGAAGAACACCAGUGGCGAAGGCGGCUUACUGGACGAUUACUGACGCUGAGGCUCGAAAGCGUGGGGAGCAAACAGGGAUUAGAUACCCUGGUAGU
rnacentral:rRNA from 1 species